GCCAGGAUGGCCAAGUGGUCUAAGCUGCCAGAUUACAGUUCUGGUCUCCAUAUGGAGGUGUGGGUUCAAAUCCCACUUCUGACA